ACUGUUCUGUCAGGCUUUGGGACAGAGACUCCAGGGCUUCCUGGAAGAAGAGUUCACGGUCACACCCAGGGUCCCAUGUCUGGAUCUAGACAGACCUGAGAAAAGGGACUCUCCAUUUGAGGAACUGCCUCCGUCAGACUGGCCUGUACGCAUGCCUGUUGGCAAUUUUCUUAAUUGCUAUUUGAUGUAUGAGUGCCUGGCCUGCUGUGGGCAGUGCUAUCCCCGGGCAGCUGGACCUGGCCUGUAUACAAAAGGUGGCUGAAACAAGCCAGAAAUGGGCUAGUAAACAGUGUUCCUCUGUGGUCUCGACUUCAGUUCCUGCCUUGAGUUCCCUCAACGAUGGGCUGUAACUUGUAAACGGACACAAACCUUUCCUCCUCACACUGGUUUCAGUCAGUGUUUUAUCACAGCAUAUUAAAACAAAUGGUGACCAGAGUUCUAAAACCA